UACGUAGGGGGCGAGCGUUAUCCGGAAUUAUUGGGCGUAAAGGGCGCGUAGGCGGAUAUUUAAGUCAGGUGUGAAAACCCAGGGCUCAACCCUGGAACUGCAUCUGAAACUGGGUAUCUUGAGGACAGGAGAGGAAAGUGGAAUUCCUAGUGUAGCGGUGAAAUGCGUAGAUAUUAGGAGGAACACCAGUGGCGAAGGCGACUUUCUGGACUGUAACUGACGCUGAGGCGCGAAAGCGUGGGGAGCAAACAGGAUUAGAUACCCUGGUAGUCCACGCCGUAAACGAUGAGUGCUAGGUGUAGGGGGUAUCGACCCCUCCUGUGCCGCAGUUAACACAAUAAGCACUCCGCCUGGGGAGUACGGCCGCAAGGUUGAA
rnacentral:rRNA from 1 species